rnacentral:rRNA from 1 species
UUUGGGGAGCUGUAAGUAAGCUUUGAUCCAGAGAUUUCCGAAUGGGGAAACCCAGCAUGAGUUAUGUCAUGUUAUCGAUAUGUGAAUACAUAGCAUAUCAGAAGGCACACCCGGAGAACUGAAACAUCUUAGUACCCGGAGGAAGAAAAAGAAAAUUCGAUUCCCUUAGUAGCGGCGAGCGAAACGGGAAGAGCCCAAACCAACAAGCUUGCUUGUUGGGGUUGUAGGACACUCUAUACGGAGUUACAAAGGACGACAUUAGACGAAUCAUCUGGAAAGAUGAAUCAAAGAAG